AGGGUUCGAUUCUGGCUCAGAACGAACGCUGGCGGCAGGCCUAACACAUGCAAGUCGAGCGCGCCCUUCGGGGUGAGCGGCGGACGGGUUAGUAACGCGUGGGAACGUACCCUUUGGUAGGGAAUAGCCACUGGAAAACGGUGAGUAAUACCCUAUGAGCCCUUCGGGGGAAAGAUUUAUCGCCAAAGGAUCGGCCCGCGUUAGAUUAGGUAGUUGGUGGGGUAAUGGCCUACCAAGCCUACGAUCUAUAGCUGGUUUUAGAGGAUGAUCAGCAACACUGGGACUGAGACACGGCCCAGACUCCUACGGGAGGCAGCAGUGGGGAAUCUUGGACAAUGGGGGCAACCCUGAUCCAGCCAUGCCGCGUGAGUGAAGAAGGCCUUAGGGUCGUAAAGCUCUUUCGCCUGUGAAGAUAAUGACGGUAGCAGGUAAAGAAACCCCGGCUAACUCCGUGCCAGCCGCCGC
rnacentral:rRNA from 1 species